rfam:Ornithorhynchus anatinus chromosome 3, whole genome shotgun sequence.
CCCCUCUCAGGACCUCACCUGAAGAGUUUCCAGUACUCUUCCAGUCUCGGCGAUGGGAGGGAGAGUCAAGCAGAGGCCUGUCCAUUCCAUUCCUAGCUUGGGCAAUGGCUAGUGAGUGGAAGGCAAUCUGCUACAAGU